rnacentral:rRNA from 1 species
AAUGGACGCUGGCGGCGUGCUUAACACAUGCAAGUCAUACGAGGACUCUUUAGCUUGCUAAAGAUAGUAAAGUGGCGCACGGGUGAGUAACGCGUGGGUAAUCUACCUCAGAAUCGGGGAUAACCCGCCGAAAGGCGAGCUAAUACCGGAUAAUAUCUAUAGAACUUCGGUUUUAAAGAUCAAAGGUGGUCUCUACAUGUAAGCUACUGUUUGGAGAUGAGCCCGCGUACCAUUAGCUUGUUGGUAGGGUAAUGGCCUACCAAGGCUUCGAUGGUUAGCUGGUGUGAGAGGAUGAUCAGCCACACUGGAACUGACACACGGUCCAGACUCCUACGGGAGGCAGCAGUGAGGAAUUUUGCGCAAUGGGGGAAACCCUGACGCAGCAACGCCGCGUGAGUGAUGAAGGCUUUCGGGUCGUAAAGCUCUGUCAAGUGGGAAGAACAUGCUUGAUGCUAAUACCAUCUUGCACUGACGGUACCACUGAAGGAAGCACCGGCUAACUCCGUGCCAGCAGCCGCGGUAAUACGGGGGGUGCAAGCGUUAUUCGGAAUUAUUGGGCGUAAAGGGCGCGUAGGCGGUCUCUUAAGUCAGAUGUGAAAGCCCGGGGCUCAACCCCGGAAGUGCAUUUGAAACUAAGCGACUUGAGUAUGGGAGAGGGAAGUGGAAUUCCUGGUGUAGAGGUGAGAUUCGUAGAUAUCAGGAGGAACACCGGUGGCGAAGGCGACUUCCUGGACCAAUACUGACGCUAAGGCGCGAAGGCGUGGGGAGCAAACAGGAUUAGAUACCCUGGUAGUCCACGCAGUAAACGGUGAACACUAGGUGUAGCGGGUAUUGACCCCUGCUGUGCCGUAGCUAACGCAUUAAGUGUUCCGCCUGGGGAGUACGGUCGCAAGAUUAAAACUCAAAGGAAUUGACGG